rnacentral:rRNA from 1 species
UCCAUCCACAAUCAAGAAUAUAUAAGUAAKUGCAGGUAAAUAAAUAGUAGGUAGAUUUMCCAAGGUCCUUAGUAAUCGGUCCCUUUGGGGASGGGGUYKGGUCCGUCCUAUCUUCCCACUGGUCGUAAUCCCAGAGGCUGGGGAAUCAGCCGCGGGGAUCCAGUACUUUGACUAAAAAAAAAUUUUAAAAGCAGGCGUAACUCUCCUCUGAAUUMCUUAGCCAGGGAUAAAGGAAUUAGGCUUYGUUCUUGUUUUGUKGGUUUCGCUAGGACGAAGUAAAGGAUGAUAGGGGCCAGUGGGGGCCAUAGUAAUUAAAUGUUAGAGGGGAAAAUUUUGGAUUUUAUAAAAGCUGACCAACUGGAAAGCAUUUKCCAAGGGAGUUUUUCAUAAUCAAGAAAGAAAAUAGGGGGGAUGAAGGMGAUCAGAAUCCGUUGUAGUUUUUACCCAUAAACUAUCCGACCUGGGAUCCGGAGAAUGUGCAAGUUGACUGCGUUGGGCACCUURYGAGAAAUCAUAAGGCUUGGCUCCRGGGGGAGUAUGGUCGCAAGGCUGAAACUAAAGAAUGACGAAGUUGAAAGGGWAU